GACGAACGCUGGCGGCGUGCUUAACACAUGCAAGUCGAACGGAAAGGCCAGUGCUUGCACUGGUUCUCGAGUGGCGCACGGGUGAGUAACACGUGGGUGAUCUGCCUUUCACUCUGGGAUAAGCCUGGGAAACUGGGGCUAAUACCGGAUAUGAACUGUCUAUAGGGUGGUGGUUGGAGAGUAUGUUCGGUGCAAGCUGAGCUCUCGGCUUAUCCGCGUGUUGGUGGGUAAUUGGCCUACCAAGGCAUUGACGGGUAGCCGGCCUGAGAGGGUGGACGGCCACAUUGGGACUGAGAUACGGACCAGAAGCCUACGGGAGGCAGCAGUCGGGAAUAUUGCACAAUGGGCCGAAGCCUGAUGCAGCGACGCCGCGUGCGUGAUGACGGCCUUCGGGUUGUAAACACCUUUCGACAGGGACGAAGCGGAAGUGACGGUACCUGUACAAGAAGCACCGGCUAACUACGUG
rnacentral:rRNA from 1 species